CAUAAAAAGACACAAUUUAACCUUCUAAGGAUGAAAGCACUCAUCACUUGGAAGCCAGUUUGCAGAAGUCAGAAGAUACUUCUGCAGCUUUAUAAAUUUAAAACUAAAAGUCAUGGUAUGACAAAUUAAAUGGAAUUGGCUCACGUUUGUCUCUAAAAGUGCUGUUCUUCCUCAGUAAAACCUCUGACCUUUAGCCAAACUCUUUUCCUCUUCUAGCUCAGCAAAGUCACAGCUGAUUCCUCAGCCAGGAGAAUCAGUCCUCACUAGCACCGGCAAUGUUAGUGACUUAAUGUCAGUCAUUUAGGAACAGCAAUCCUAAAUCGCAACGUGCGAAACAAUUUCUCUCACUUCUCACUUCUCACUUUUGAAGUCCAACAGUAACUUCUUUCAAGAAUGAGGCUUUUCCCUGAGGCUCUUUGGAAAUUGACAAUUCAGGAAGAAUCAAUGGAGAGCUGCACUUUUGAUGGAUGAACCAUUAGAAAAUUCUAUGGCAUUCUUCCCAUGACCUUUUCCGGAGACAGAUGAAUAGCCUUCCAAAGAUGAGUCCUCUUCACACUUCUGUCUUCCACAUGAAAAACAUCCUACUAUUUCCCUCUUAAGUUGAAGAGCUGCAUCUAUAAGGAAGUCAACAACUUGAAGGAUUCAUCUUCCUCUACUGAUUCUGCCUUAAUCACUCACUAAUCUGCAUUCCAG